rnacentral:rRNA from 1 species
AACCGACACAGGUGGUCAGGUAGAGAAUACCAAGGCGCUUGAGAGAACUCGGGUGAAGGAACUAGGCAAAAUGGUGCCGUAACUUCGGGAGAAGGCACGCUGACACGUAGGUGAAGUGAUUUACUCAUGGAGCUGAAGUCAGUCGAAGAUACCAGCUGGCUGCAACUGUUUAUUAAAAACACAGCACUGUGCAAACACGAAAGUGGACGUAUACGGUGUGACGCCUGCCCNGU